rnacentral:rRNA from 1 species
GGCGGGGUAACGGCCCACCAAGGCAACGAUCAGUAGGGGUUCUGAGAGGAAGGUCCCCCACAUUGGAACUGAGACACGGUCCAAACUCCUACGGGAGGCAGCAGUGAGGAAUAUUGGUCAAUGGACGAGAGUCUGAACCAGCCAAGUAGCGUGCAGGAAGACGGCCCUAUGGGUUGUAAACUGCUUUUAUAAGGGAAUAAAGUGAGAGUCGUGACUCCUUUUGCAUGUACCUUAUGAAUAAGGACCGGCUAAUUCCGUGCCAGCAGCCGCGGUAAUACGGAAGGUCCGGGCGUUAUCCGGAUUUAUUGGGUUUAAAGGGAGCGUAGGCCGGAGAUUAAGCGUGUUGUGAAAUGUAGACGCUCAACGUCUGCACUGCAGCGCGAACUGGUUUCCUUGAGUACGCACAAAGUGGGCGGAAUUCGUGGUGUAGCGGUGAAAUGCUUAGAUAUCACGAAGAACUCCGAUUGCGAAGGCAGCUCACUGGAGCGCAACUGACGCUGAAGCUCGAAAGUGCGGGUAUCGAACAGGAUUAGAUACCCUGGUAGUCCGCACGGUAAACGAUGGAUGCCCGCUGUUGAUCUGAAUAGGUCAGCGGCCAAGCGAAAGCAUUAAGCAUCCCACCUGGGGAGUACGCCGGCAACGGUGAAACUCAAAGGAAUUGACGGGGGCCCGCACAAGCGGAGGAACAUGUGGUUUAAUUCGAUGAUACGCGAGGAACCUUACCCGGGCUUGAAUUGCAGAGGAAGGAUUUGGAGACAAUGACGCCCUUCGGGGCCUCUGUGAAGGUGCUGCAUGGUUGUCGUCAGCUCGUGCCGUGAGGUGUCGGCUUAAGUGCCAUAACGAGCGCAACCCCUCUCCUUAGUUGCCAUCAGGUUAAGCUGGCACUCUGGGGACACUGCCACCGUAAGGUGUGAGGAAGGUGGGGAUGACGUCAAAUCAGCACGGCCCUUACGUCCGGGGCUACACACGUGUUACAAUGGCAGGUACAGAGAGACGGUCCCUUGCAAAACGGAUCAAAUCCUUAAAGCCUGUCUCAGUUCGGACUGGGGUCUGCAACCCGACCCCACGAAGCUGGAUUCGCUAGUAAUCGCGCAUCAGCCAUGGCGCGGUGAAUACGUUCCCGGGCCUUGUACACACCGCCCGUCAAGCCAUGAAAGCCGGGGGCGCCUAAAGUCCGUGACCGUAAGGAGCGGCCUAGGGCGAAACUGGUAAUUGGGGCUAAGUCGUAACAAGGUA